rnacentral:rRNA from 1 species
AGGGAAUAUUGGUCAAUGGACGCAAGUCUGAACCAACCAUGCCGCGUGAAGGAUGAAGGUCCUCUGGAUUGUAAACUUCUUUUAUCUGGGACGAAAACGGGAUUUUUAUCUCAAUUGACGGUACCAGAGGAAUAAGCACCGGCUAACUCCGUGCCAGCAGCCGCGGUAAUACGGAGGGUGCGAGCGUUAUCCGGAUUUACUGGGUUUAAAGGGUGCGUAGGUGGGCUUAUAAGUCAGUGGUGAAAUCUCCGAGCUUAACUUGGAAACUGCCGUUGAUACUAUAGGUCUUGAAUUAUCUGGAGGUAAGCGGAAUAUGUCAUGUAGCGGUGAAAUGCUUAGAUAUGACAUAGAACACCAAUUGCGAAGGCAGCUUACUACAUAUAAAUUGACGCUGAGGCACGAAAGCGUGGGGAUCAAACA